UACCAGCACCCCGAGUGGUCGGGACGAUUAUUGGGCCUAAAGCAUCCGUAGCCGGUUCUACAAGUCUUCCGUUAAAUCCACCUGCUUAACAGAUGGGCUGCGGAGGAUACUAUAGAGCUAGGAGGCGGGAGAGGCAAGCGGUACUUAGUGGGUAGGGGUAAAAUGCGUAGAUAUAUGAAAGAACAUCAAUAUAGCGAAGGCAGUUAACUAUUCUGCUACUGACAUUGAGGCAUGAAAGCGUGGGGAGCAAAACGG
rnacentral:rRNA from 1 species